UUUGCCAUCUGAUCUCUCUACCCUGUCUGUCAGCUGAGAGGAGUUUCCGGGACGCUAACUUUGUUGCUAACUGUAGUUUCUAGAGAGUUAAUUUUGUUCAGCGUCCCCAAAGAAGCAAGCACCACACAGAAAUGGAUGGACUUUGUAUCGCAGCCAGCAAAAUCCGAAAACGACCGUGUAGUUUGUUCACGCCACAACACAGAGGACCGAAGUACGAAGCGGGCUAUGCGGCUAAGCUAAUGCUAAUGGACCGUGUUGUUUCAUCAAAACAAAGCCACGUGGAGGACUCGAGCACAAGCUUACAUCACAUCAUAUGCCUUCAGCUGCUAAGCUUCUGAGAAGAGACAAUGCACUGUGAAUCCCGUGGAAAAGAAGCCAACAUUCAAGUAUGUCAGUGACCCGGUGAGGCCUGUUUGAGGAGAUGUUGCCCUGCAGAUACACAGAUGAGCUCGAACGAAUCACCAUCCCAGAAAACCCCUGUGCCCAGUUCCCGAAUCCGUCAAAAGAAGAGGUCAUUACAAGAAAACACAUCGUACCUGUGUACCUGUCAGCACAAGACGGGAUGAUGGUCCUCACACGUCUUCCCAGAUUUUGCUGAUUCCAGUGUGGUAAUUCACAGAUGAAGACAAGUAUGACCUGUGAACCGUGUUGGGGGCGUGCAAUAAAAGUAACGUGUUAAGAGUAGUACAAUAAGCAGUAAUUGAGUAAUUUAACUGUAUAACAGAUUUGUAGUAAUAUAUCUGCAGUUACUAUGUGCAGUAACAUGUUACCACCUGAUAGAAACUGUUGACAUUUUCUCAGCGUUUUUUGACCCUCUGACAUGUUGGACUUCUGCAGUUUUUUGGGUGAAAGUAAUGCAAAAGUAAUGUUAUGCAUUUCUCUGCACAGGACAUAAUAUUUUACCACAUUAUAUUUUGGAAGUUACUUGCUCAACACUGCUUGUGAAAGUUCAAAGGAACACAACUAUUAACCACAUUUGUUUGAGUUUUUUUUUAAUUUUCAAUGUUCUUAUGGAACAGUGCACAUUACAUUAUCUAUACAAUUCUUUAUUUUUCCUGAUUUAUGUGAUUUUCUUGUAUUGACAUUGGGGAUCAUGUGUUUGUACAGACGGAGGUAAAAGAAAAUGAUUCAAUGUAGUAACACACAACUUUUAUGACAAGAAGCAAAACGUACUCUUCCUCUGUUUUCCUCACACAUCCACAGUCUGCUCUGUGUGUGCUGUGGAUGUCUGUGGACAUUCAGUUUGGUUUGAGGCCUGGAUUGUUAGUCAUGCAUGAUGCAGGACUUGAUUCAUUUUUCUUACAACCUUGUGUGGAAAAAAGAAAAACAAUUUUGAAAACAAACAGAUGUACUCAAGAAUUAACAUAGAUCAUUUCAUGUGCACACUAUUUUGUGAUUAUUUUUAUUAUAUUAAAUUAAUAUUAUUUGUAAGGGUUU